rnacentral:misc_RNA from 1 species
CAAUCACUUUUCGAAUCUUGCAACUGCAGAAAAGAAAACUAAAUCAAUUAUCUUAAUUGAUUUGCAAUUCUUAGAAAUGUCUGAUUUUUGCUCCAAACACUACCAAAGCAAAGAAAAGAAAAUCAUUUCAUAAAUAAAAGUAAGCACUCAUGCAAUAGGGAAAUGAUAAAAAAUUAUACAUUCACUCUUUUUGCAUGUUCACAAACACUUUGCAAGAUAUUUCUUUACUAACAAAAACACCAUUUUAUUUGUUCUUAUAAAUAACUAGAGAUAAAUCAUUCAUUGAUUAGCAAAACAUUGUGCACAACGUUCAUUAGCUGAGAUGAAACCAGAUUACCAGGAUAAAGUUCCAUAAAUAAAUUUCACAAAGCAACGUUGCUUAGUCGUGUUAGUUGUAUGUGAAAACUAUCCAAGUGCUCCAUAUGUAGGACACAGUAAAACUUAUAAAUCUGGUCCAUAAUUUUGAGAUUCUAGAAAGGACCACAUAUUUUUUUUUUGAAGUAGUAUACAUCAGCUCCUUUGUUAUGCAAUUGGACAGAUAAUAACCAAUUCAGAUGAAUUGUCAACAUAAAAGCACCAAUGUCAUGCUGCUAAAAUAAAAACACAAGUUCCAUAACAAUAUGAGAGUAUAACAUGGAAUUGCAGUUAUAAAAUGCUCAGAACAUUACAUUACAGCAGUCAUUCUUUACAACAAUUAGUUGGCAGAAAAUAAUUACUGAGGGUGAUAAGUGAUGAUUACGCUGUGGACUUUUACUGUAACAGAUGUUCCAACUUGCCCUCUAAGCUUCCGUGCUGCAGCUUCACUAUCAAGACCAUCAAGCCUCUCCCCAUUAAUCUCAAUCAAUUCAUCUCCUUCAUGUAUGCCAGCACGAGAAGCUGGGCUACCCUCUACACAAGACAAAACAACCAAAUGGCCGGACUUUGGUUCAUUAUUUAUAAAAAUUCCAACUCCUUGCAAAUUACCAUCAUUUCCAAUUCUAAAACUCUGGUACU